rnacentral:lncRNA from 1 species
UAAGCAAUAAUAUUUUCUCAUAGGUGUGUAAUUGAGUUGGUCAAAGUUUUUUUCUUUUUCCUUUUUUUUUUCAAAAAAAUAAAAGCUUUUUCAAUGUAUAAAGAAAAAGUAAGAAUGAAAAUUUUUUUUAUAUAAUCCAAUGGAUGAACUUGAGGAAUCAAGAUUAAAAAAAUAUGUCAAUAUUUUAUGAAUCUACUAUCAUCCAUCUUUCAUUUACAAAGAUGUCAUUAAGGUCUAUUCCACAAGAAAAUUCAAUUUGCAUAAAAAAUUUUAGUUCUAUCAUUGCUUUAUUUUUUCUAAUUGAUUUACCAGACUUCUUUGCAAAAAUACAUGCAUGUAUUAAUAAAAAUCACAUAGAAGGAUGCACAACUCUCAUAUAAUAAUAACUACUACAGUUGCUACUACAACAAUUUAGGACUUGUUUGGUUUAAAUGUUAGAUACAAUUCAUAGAUGAUAACUGAUAGCUUAUUGCUAAUUGCAAUCGAAACAUAUUAAGCCUUUAGUAAACUAUAUAUUGCUAUUAUUGUUGAUAUAUAGAAUGAAAAAUGAAGGUAUAUAUAUAUCAUAUUAUUUAUUUAUUAUUAAAAUAAAUAUAAAAUUAAUAAUUUAUUAUAUAAUUUAUAUAAGACUUAAAAAUAUGAUUAUUAAUUAUUUGUUUUUUAAUGUAUGUAUGUAGGUAUUUUUAUUAUAUAAAAAUAAAUAAACAUUGUAACUAAUAUAGUUAUUUUUAUAAUAUUUAUAUUUAUUUUAUGAGUAUAAAUAAUUUAUUAAUAUAUAUUAAAAUAAAUUUUAAUAUGAAAAUUUUAUAAUUAAUAAUUACUAAAAUGAUAAUAUGGUCUAAAUAAAAAAUAAUGUCUCAUCAGCUGAUAAUCGAUGAGAAAAAAAAAAGCAGUUAAUAAGAUACAUAUCAACCAGCAGUUGCCUUUUUAAAGAGUUCAUCAAACACACAAACUAACUAUUUGAAAGCUGAUAAGCUAUUAACUAUAUAAAAACAGUAAACCGAAC